rnacentral:tRNA from 1 species
GCUCCCAUAGCCCAACAGCAGAGGCAGCCGGCUUAAACCCGGAACAGUGCCGGUGCGAGUCCGGCUGGGAGUA